rnacentral:rRNA from 1 species
GACGAACGCUUGCGACGUGCCUAAGAAAUGCAAGUCGAACGGGGGGAGCAAUCCCCUAGUGGCGAACGGUCGCGUAACACGUGGGCAACCUGCCUCGAAGCGGGGGACAACAGGGGGAAACUUCUGCUAAUACCGCAUGUGAAUUGCAAUGGCAUCAUUGCGUAUUUAAAGCCGCAAGGCACUUCGAGAUGGGCCCGCGGCCUAUCAGCUAGUUGGUGGGGUAAUGGCCUACCAAGGCGACGACGGGUAGCUGGUCUGAGAGGACGAUCAGCCGGAU